rnacentral:rRNA from 1 species
CCUACGGGAGGCAGCAGUGGGGAAUAUUGCACAAUGGGGGCAACCCUGAUGCAGCGACGCCGCGUGAGUGAAGAAGUAUUUCGGUAUGUAAAGCUCUAUCAGCAGGGAAGAAAAUGACGGUACCUGACUAAGAAGCCCCGGCUAACUACGUGCCAGCCGCCCCGGUUAUACGUAGGAUCCGAGCAUUAUCCGGAGUGACUGGGUGUAAAGAGUUGCGUAGGUGGUAUAAUAAGUAGCUAGUGAAAUCUGGUGGCUCAACCAUUCAGACUAUAAGCUAAACUGGUAAGCUCGAGAACAUUAGGGGCAGCUGGAAUUUCUAGGGUAGGAGUGAAAUCCGUAGAUAUUAGAAGGAACACCAAUAGCGUAGGCAGGAUGCUGGGACGGUUCUGACACUAAGGCACGAAAGCGUAGGGAGCAAACGGGAUUAGAUACCCUAGUAGUC